rnacentral:rRNA from 1 species
AGCGAACGCUAGCGGCGUGCCUAACACAUGCAAGUCGAACGUGAAAAGGGAAACCUGAGUAAAGUGGCGUACGGGUGAGUAACGCGUAGGUAAUCUACCCCAGAAUCUGGAAUAACCUGCCGAAAGGCGGGCUAAUACUGGAUAGAGCGAGGGAACUCGUAAGAGAGUUUUUCGGGAAAGGGAGCCCGCAAGGGCCUUCGUUCUGGGAUGAGCCUGCGUCUCAUUAGCUAGUUGGUAAGGUAACGGCUUACCAAGGCGAUGAUGAGUAGCUGGUCUGAGAGGAUGAUCAGCCACACUGGAACUGAAACACGGUCCAGACUCCUACGGGAGGCAGCAGUGGGGAAUCUUGCGCAAUGGACGAAAGUCUGACGCAGCCACGCCGCGUGAGUGAAGAAGGCCUUCGGGUUGUAAAGCUCUGUCGGAUGGGACGAACAUCUUCAUAGUGAAUAGCUAUGAGGACUGACGGUACCAUCGAAGGAAGCACCGGCUAACUCCGUG